UACGUAGGUGGCAAGCGUUAUCCGGAAUUAUUGGGCGUAAAGAGCGCGCAGGUGGUUGAUUAAGUCUGAUGUGAAAGCCCACGGCUUAACCGUGGAGGGUCAUUGGAAACUGGUCGACUUGAGUGCAGAAGAGGGAAGUGGAAUUCCAUGUGUAGCGGUGAAAUGCGUAGAGAUAUGGAGGAACACCAGUGGCGAAGGCGGCUUCCUGGUCCGUAACUGACGCUGAGGCGCGAAAGCGUGGGGAGCAAACAGGAUUAGAUACCCG
rnacentral:rRNA from 1 species